rnacentral:rRNA from 1 species
AUUGAACGCUGGCGGCAUGCCUAACACAUGCAAGUCGAACGAGUGGCGGACGGGUGAGUAAUGUAUGGGGACUGCCCGAUAGAGGGGGAUAACUACUGGAAACGGUAGCUAAUACCGCAUACUAUCGGAUAACCCAUAUGGGAUGAGCUAGUUGGUGAGGUAAUGGCUCACCAAGGCGACGAUCCCUAGCUGGUCUGAGAGGAUGAUCAGCCACACUGGGACUGAGACACGGCCCAGACUCCUACGGAGGCAGCAGUGGGGAAUAUUGGACAAUGGGCGCAAGCCUGAUGCAGCCAUGCCGCGUGUAUGAAGAAGGUUCUAGGGUUGUAAAGUACUUUUAGUCGGGAGGCGUUACCGACAGAAGAAGCACCGGCUAACUCCGUGCCAGCCGCCGCGGUAAUUC